rnacentral:rRNA from 1 species
ACUCCUACGGGAGGCAGCAGUGGGGAAUCUUAGACAAUGGGGGAAACCCUGAUCUAGCCAUGCCGCGUGAGUGAUGAAGGCCUUAGGGUCGUAAAGCUCUUUCGCCAGGGAUGAUAAUGACAGUACCUGGUCAAAGAAACCCCGGCUAACUCCGUGCCAGCAGCCGCGGUAAUACGGAGGGGGUUAGCGUUGUUCGGAAUUACUGGGCGUAAAGCGCGCGUAGGCGGACUAGAAAGUUGGGGGUGAAAUCCCGGGGCUCAACCUCGGAACUGCCUUCAAAACUCCUAGUCUAGAGUUCGAGAGAGGUGAGUGGAAUUCCAAGUGUAGAGGUGAAAUUCGUAGAUAUUUGGAGGAACACCAGUGGCGAAGGCGGCUCACUGGCUCGAUACUGACGCUGAGGUGCGAAAGUGUGGGGAGCAAACAGGAUUAGAUACCCUGGUAGGAUAGCG